rnacentral:lncRNA from 1 species
AGCACAUAGCAGCAUACUGUAAAGAAGUGACUAAGAAAAGGCUUUCCUGACAGCCAAAUGCAAAAUGUUCAUUAACAAUACAAGAGCAUCAUGAAGAAACUGAAGUCCCCAGUUGCCUCAGUUUACUAGGCACUGGUAAAUUUAGUGAAAGCCGAGAGUUAUCAGAUACUGAAACACACAUAAACACACACACACACACACACACACACACACACGCAUUCACACACACACCGGAGACCAGGUCAGAAUCAGACUAUCAUCUCAGGAAUAACUGA